ACCAAAAUAAAUAAAAACAAAUGACUACGUAACAAUGCUCUUGGAAUUGAGAAGGCAGAACAGUAAGUCUGUUAUAAUCACAGUGUGUUGCAGAACCAGAACCAAGGGGACAGGACAGGUUUGAUUCCCUCUGGGUGGUUUGGGGCCAUCCCUGUGCAGGCUCUGGUUACAGCCAGACUCUCCAGGUUGCUAGUGGUCCCUGUGGGGCUAAUGUGGGCACAAACUGCGUAGCACCCCAGGCCAGAGGAGCAGGCUCUGAUUCUCCAAUGACAGCCUGAGCAAAGAUCCAUAACCUCAUGAGAGGCCAGGGAGCCACCAAAGCUGCAGUCCUAAGACAAGCCAUGCUGCGUAUACCAGGUGAAGACUGGUACUGCCUAGACCUACUGAGAAGUUGGGGUAAGGAGUCUGGAGGACAGCCACAAGCCAGGGUGGCCAGGAGGAGGUGCUCACCAUCUCCAUGCCAUUCUUCUUCAUGCGACGACAGGACUUGAG